ensembl:lncRNA
UCGCCGACAGUAUGUGUUUUAGCUGGACUUAUUUUUCGUUUAUAUGGACCGAUGAUUUAUUUAUUUAUUCAUUUUAGUAACGGUAUAAACAGUGAAAGGUGGUGGAUUGGCCAGAUGUAAACUUCAAAUAUCUGCUCGUGUUACCAAGACAUCCCAUAUUAGCUCUGAUGUUUUCGGUGCCUGCAAAGAGCUAGACAGGUAGCUAGCUAACCCGAGCUGGCUGUCUUUUUGACUCAGGGUCAUAGCUGGACUUAUUUUUCGUUUUUAUGAGCCGAUGAGGGGUUUUUUUUUAGUAACGGUACAAACAGUGAAAGGCGGUGGAUUGUCCAGAUGCUGGUCGAUGUGGAAAAAAUAACUGAGUUGUUUGGUAGUCGCUGACGCGGAGCUACAACCGAGGGCAGCUAUCCACCGGUGUGUGUCAGAAAGAACAUGCGGGAACGAGGCGGCGAGGGCGACCGCCGAUCGACCGGUGGUAGAUCAUGGAUCAGGGAAACCGAAGGCAGGAGAAGCAGGCGGCUGCCGGUCGGAGCGUGAGGUGAACUGAAUUUCAGGCGAUCCUGCUCAUCACGGCCUCGUCUGAGAUGACAGCUGAACAGCCGACACCGACAGAGGAGAUAACUUCUGUACACAGCACGAAGGUGAAAAGCCCAAAUGUUAAACAUCUGAAAAAAUGCCGCGUGACACAAGCAGGAUGUCGACAACACCACUCAAAAGCACAGCAGAGGUCACACACAAAGCCACAGCCCUACAGACCCAAAGCUCGUAGAGGGAGUCUGGCUCCAAUUUUGCUACAGUAAAGGAAUGAAGUGAAGGAGUGACCACAUCUAGUGGUGAGUCUCCUGCUUUGUUUCUUCUGAAGAAGAUGAAAUAAAAAGAAAAACAGAAACGAAGAUCUUUAAAGAAACUUUUCUUUGCUGUUUGGCAUUGCGUUACAUUUCAGUGCAAUGCAAAUCAUAUGCAGUACUAACUAUAAAAAUCACAAUAUUUCUCAGAUCAGUGGUAUAUAAGAAAUAUGUGUAUGACAUAAAAAGGUUAUUAAGGCACUACAUAAAUGAAUGUAUCUGAUACAAUUAUAAUUUGAUGUUUAUGUUUAUAAGUCAGUUUUUAAUAUGGCCUUAUUCAUUUUACUGGUUUUGAUGGAAUGAAGAACAAGUUUUCAGUCUUCUAUUGUUGUAACUUUGCACUGUAACUGCUAUUGUUUCAUGAAUUUCAGUUUCAAAUAAAGUCACCCAGAGUUAAAGCAUAAAAA